rnacentral:rRNA from 1 species
UCCCCUAGUAACGGCGAGUGAAGCGGGAAGAGCACAAAUUUAAAAUCUACCUGGUUUYCAGGUCGAGUUGUAAUUUGAAGAUACGUUUUUGACGUUCCGGGUUGGACUAAAUCCUUUGGGAUAAGGUAUCAUGGAGGGUGAGAAUCCCGUAUAUACCAACCAUAGGGAUGUUAUUUAAUACGUUUCUAAGAGUCGAGUUGUUUGGGAAUGCAGCUCUAAAUGGGUGGUAAAUUUCACCUAAUGCUAAAUAUAAGCGAGAGACCGAUAGCGAACAAGUACAGUGAUGGAAAGAUGAAAAGAACUUUGAAAAGAGAGUUAAAUAGUACGUGAAAUUGUUGAAAGGGAAACGAUUGAAGUCAGUCAUGCCCGUGGGAAUCAACUUAGRGGAAACUCUAAGUGCACUUCUUCGCUUGGCAGGUCAACGUCGAUUUUGGAUGUCAUAAAAUGAUUGGGGGAAGGUAGCUCCUUNGGGAGUGUUAUAGCCCUUGGUAGAUGUGAUGUCUGGGAUCGAGGAUUGCAAYGGAUACCCUUUGGGGCUAGCCGUCUGAUCUCUAAUUGGUAUUGGRUUACGGAUAGCAUGCUGACCGUGAUCUAAUUAUUGGUUAAAAGGUUAGAGCNNGCAUAAAUUCCUUAAGGACNUUGACCUAAUGGCUUU